rnacentral:tRNA from 1 species
AGUUAAAUAGCUUAAAAGAAGCAUAUGUUUUGAAAACAUAAGAAAGAAGUUUAAAUCUUCUAUUAACUU